rnacentral:rRNA from 2 species
CGGGACACGUGGUAUCCUGUCUGAAUAUGGGGGGACCAUCCUCCAAGGCUAAAUACUCCUGACUGACCGAUAGUGAACCAGUACCGUGAGGGAAAGGCGAAAAGAACCCCGGCGAGGGGAGUGAAAAAGAACCUGAAACCGUGUACGUACAAGCAGUGGGAGCACAGAGCAAUCUGUGUGACUGCGUACCUUUUGUAUAAUGGGUCAGCGACUUAUAUUCUGUAGCAAGGUUAACCGAAUAGGGGAGCCGAAGGGAAACCGAGUCUUAACCGGGCGUUAAGUUGCAGGGUAUAGACCCGAAACCCGGUGAUCUAGCCAUGGGCAGGUUGAAGGUUGGGUAACACUAACUGGAGGACCGAACCGACUAAUGUUGAAAAAUUAGCGGAUGACUUGUGGCUGGGGGUGAAAGGCCAAUCAAACCGGGAGAUAGCUGGUUCUCCCCGAAAGCUAUUUAGGUAGCGCCUCGUGAAUUCAUCUCCGGGGGUAGAGCACUGUUUCGGCAAGGGGGUCAUCCCGACUUACCAACCCGAUGCAAACUGCGAAUACCGGAGAAUGUUAUCACGGGAGACACACGGCGGGUGCUAACGUCCGUCGUGAAGAGGGAAACAACCCAGACCGCCAGCUAAGGUCCCAAAGUCAUGGUUAAGUGGGAAACGAUGUGGGAAGGCCCAGACAGCCAGGAUGUUGGCUUAGAAGCAGCCAUCAUUUAAAGAAAGCGUAAUAGCUCACUGGUCGAGUCGGCCUGCGCGGAAGAUGUAACGGGGCUAAACCAUGCACCGAAGCUGCGGCAGCGACACUGUGUGUUGUUGGGUAGGGGAGCGU